rnacentral:rRNA from 1 species
UGUGAGCCAGGUUGGUUUCUAUCUUUUAUAAGAAAAAAUAUUUUAGUACGAAAGGAUCAAAUAUUUUAAUUAAAUUAAUUUAAAUGAAUAUUAUUAAAAAUAUUAAUUUUAAAUUUUUAAUUAUGAAAUUUUAAUUUAACUAUUAUUAUUAUUAAGUUAA